rnacentral:rRNA from 1 species
UACGGGGGAGGCAAGCGUUGUUCGGAUUUACUGGGCGUAAAGGGCGCGUAGGCGGCCACCGCAAGUCGACUGUGAAAUCUCCGGGCUUAACUCGGAAAGGUCAGCCGAUACUGCGGGGCUAGAGUGCAGAAGGGGCAACUGGAAUUCUCGGUGUAGCGGUGAAAUGCGUAGAUAUCGAGAGGAACACCUGCGGCGAAGGCGGGUUGCUGGGCUGACACUGACGCUGAAGCGCGAAAGCUAGGGGAGCGAACGGG